rnacentral:lncRNA from 1 species
ACCUGCACUCAUGGCAUAUGGACGUUCCCAGGCCAGGGAUCAAAUCCGAGCCACAGCUGCAACCUAGGUGACACUGGAUCCUUAACCCACUGCAUCACAGUUUUUGAGCACCUGGCAUGUGUGAUAUGAUCUCAUCCAAUUAUCUCUACUUGUUCAAAAAAAUUGCACCUUUUAAGAUCUUUACCUAGAACCUAACACAUUCCUCCAUAAUGAUAUUUAAUUACUUCAACCUGAUCCAGAAAGAGCAAUCCCACAUAGUUCAAACUAAGACCACCAGGGGCUGGCCAAGGAAUGAAGUGCCACUUGCACUAUCGCUUCGAGUAGAAAAUGCAUCUGUGGUGGUUCUAGAAACAUGCCCCCAUUCCACGAAAGUAUUUCCCUCUGAGGCUGCCAAAAAGCCACGGUCCAGUGACCGGGCAUACCACCCCACCUGGGCACACAGGAACCACUUCUGACAACGAACCACAGACCUGGCACUUGUGUAGGGGAGGCACCAGCCCCAGAGGCCGCCCAAGGAGCCCAGAGAGGCCUCCAUCCCUCCCAUCUCUGCUGCCUACCCUACCCUGCAACUGACCUCUCAGUGCGGCCAGGUCGCCUGAACCCCUGCUCUUAAUGGUACCGUGACAGGACUCCUCGAGAAUCCUUCAUAAACUCUCUCAAGCACUGCUCUUGGCGCCUCAUCACAAUACAAUCUAACAAAACAAUAUCACAGCAUUUGGGGAAGAGAGAAGCUACCAAAUUUCACCACAAAGCCUCCCUCCCCCCUGUUCCCCAGGAAACCUAGUUUGCCAGAAGAGGCAUCCUUUGCUCCCGUUUUCAUAAGGAUGCUUGGUUUACCUUUACAGUCUAAUCCCACCCAGGCCCAUGGGGGGCUUUCCUUCUCUGUACCAAUUCUCCCACAGGACCCCUGGGGUGGGCCAUCUAGGAGCCCCUCCAAGAUGUCCAUGUUCUCACACCUGGAACCUGUGACUGUAUUACCCUGCAUGGCAAAGGUGACUUUUCAGAUGGGAUCCGGAUUCUCCUGGAUGGCUCAGGGGGCCCUGAUGCAGCAACAGAGGUCCUUAUAACAAGGAUACAGGAGAAUUUAAAGAGUCAGAAGUAGACGUGAGGAAAGGGUCUCGAGCCAAGCACAGGGGCAGGCUCCAGAAUCUAGAAAAGGCAACGAAACAGAUGCUCUACUCAGGGCCUCCAGAGGGAACCAGCCUUGCCAAUACCUUGACCUUAGCCCAGCGAAACUGAUUUUGGCCUUCAAGACUCUAGAACAGUGAGAAGAUUGAUUUAUGUUAUUUUAAGCCACAAGGUUUGUGGUCAUUUCUAACAGCAUCUCUUCCGGAGAAAGGGGACUGUGAUGAUGAUAAACACACAGAACCAGAAAUACCCUUGAACUUCAGGCAUGAGUCGUCCUCAUUGGGAUCCACACAGCCUUUCUCUCUGGACUCUAGGAGCCCGCUGAAUCCUCUGCUCUCGCUCACCAAAGUUGAGAACCCAAGACCCGUGAUGCCAUAAGCAAGGGUUAUGACUUGUGAGUACUGCUCAGUAGAGCAUCUUAGCACCUAGAUGGAAAAAACAACUCCCAUCCUAGCCUGCUGCCUUUGUGAUUCAUAAACCAGGGAAACGACAGAAAAACAGUAAAGAAUGUGUACAGCACUUUGAUUUUAUCCAACAGAAGAUACUGGGCAAAACAAAACACAAAACCUACAAGGAAGCGCCUCCAGAUCCACAAUUCCUUUUACCACACGGACAGGAGCUGGGCCAAGCCAACUUCGCUCCAUGGAUCCCACAGGUGGGCCAGCCUGCAGUCUCGCCUCGCUGCCGGGCAGCCAGCCUGAGCCCUGGAAAGCCAGAGCCUGUGCCCACGGGGCUCCUCAAGACAACGAGAGGAGGAAGGCUCUGGAAGGUGGUGGCAUCCUGCCCACCUCGGAGGUAGCCUGGGGCCUCUGGAUCACGCCAUCUCGCCAGCACCUGAGAGGUGUGGGCCAGGCAGCCAACCACAUCAGAAGCUGGCUGCCAGCCGGCCCCAGUUGCCCAACACCUCCGCAGGAGCCAGCUUUCCAGGAGUGGGUUUUACCCGCCACACAGGUACCAGCCGCUGCUGACCAAAGCGGGGCACGGCGCCUUGAAGAAUGUCCCACACGAUGGCCAGCCCGACGGGGGUCAAGGAGGCUGUCCGGCUACAGAGCAAUGCAAUGCACCUGCGCUCCACACUGGCCUCUGCAAAGCACGUUCUCUGCGCGGAUUACGCAAAGCAGGAUCCCACCAGGCUCUUCCUAGGACUCCAGCCGACCUCGGCUUUCCUCCAAGCCCAUGUCAGACCUCCCACCCCUCCCUACCCAUCCACCCCUUAAUCCUCCCAACCCUACAAGUCACUGGUUUACACGCUCCCAGUGUAACCCGUUUCCGUUAUGUUUAACAAGUAACGUCGUGAAGGGCGUGUCAGGAUGUUCAGGGUCAGGGUACCUAGGCUUCCUCCGUGGGAGUUAAACCUGUGACUUCAGGGCACGUGUACAAGGUGGCAUUUUAAGCCGGGUAAAGUAGUCAAAGAAAAAAAAAGAAAGUUAACCAACCUUCCACAAAGGGCUCUCAUUCCGCCUCUGCUGAAUAAAGAUGCAACUCGGAAUAUUCCAAGUCCAAGAGAAGGUGGAUUUUGGCAAAAGCGGCAUCUAAUUUGCCCAAGAUUCAAAAUCUUUGAGCCACUUGACCAGUUUUCUCUCUGCCGACUACUUCUUCUGAUGUGCCCCCCCCCCCCAAAAUAAACCAGGCCCAGAAAUAGAAUCCCAUCUCCCUUGGCUCUUAUGACUAAUGUAUGGCCUUCUUUUAAAGCCCUCACACCACAGCUCUGACUCCAGUAAUUUCCUCUUCUUCUCUACGAACGUCCAUUUACAGCCUUUCUGUAACCUCUACGUGAACCAAGAAUGUUCUCUGUCCCUCCCACGGAUGUGGGAUCACGCCCUGGUGAGAGCGGGGUGGCGCUGGACGGAAUCUCUCACUGCAGUGUGAGCUCACUCGGGACCCUACCCAAGCCCAGCUCCCGGAGAAGGGGAGGAGGUCUUUUGCUUUAAGGAGCUUUUACAAAAGACAAAACAAUUCCAAGGGCUGGGUGGGCAACCAGUAAAACUCAAGACAUGGCUCGGGGGUUCCUUAUGCACUUGGAUGAAGGGGCAUAGCGGCGUCUUUAUUUCAUUUUUAUCUGGGGAGGAGGGUUUGGGAAGGUGUCCCAGAAAAUAGCGUCCGUCCG